rnacentral:rRNA from 1 species
CUACAAUGGUCAGGACAAUGGGUAUCGACACCGGAGAGGUCGGAGGGCGAAUCUCCUAAACCUGUCCUUAGUUCGGAUUGUGGGCUGCAACUCGCCCACAUGAAGCUGGAAUCCGUAGUAAUCGCGUUUCAAAAUAGCGCGGUGAAUAUGUCCCUGCUCCUU